rnacentral:misc_RNA from 1 species
UACGAGGGGUCCUAGCGUUGCUCGGAAUCAUUGGGCGUAAAGCGGGUGUAGGUGGACAACUAAGUCAGAUGUGAAAGCCCCGGGCUUAACCCGGGAAGUGCAUUUGAAACUGGUUAUCUUGAGUGCAAUAGAGGAAGGUGGAAUUCCAAGUGUAGUGGUGAAAUACGUAGAUAUUUGGAGGAACAUCGGUGGCGAAGGCGACCUUCUGGAUUGUUACUGACACUGAGACCCGAAAGCGUGGGGAUCAAACAGG